rnacentral:rRNA from 1 species
AUUGAACGCUGGCGGCAGGCCUAACACAUGCAAGUAGAGCGGAGCGGCGGACGGGUGAGUAAUGCCUAGGAAUCUGCCUGGUAGUGGGGGAUAACGUCGGGAAACGGGCGCUAAUAACGCUUCUUAUAAGAUGAGCAUAGGGCGGAUUAGCUAGUUGGGGGGGUAAAGGCCUACCAAGGCGACGAUCCGUAACUGGUCUGAGAGGAUGAUCAGUCACACUGGAACUGAGACACGGUCCAGACUCCUACGGGAGGCAGCAGUGGGGAAUAUUGGACAAUGGGCGAAAGCCUGAUCCAGCCAUGCCGCGUGUGUGAAGAAGGGCUUCGGAUUGUAAAGCACUUUAAGUUGGGAGGCGUUACCAACAGAAUAAGCACCGGCUAACUUCGUGCCAGCCGCCGCGGUAAUUC